AGCCUGGAGCCAGAGGGAAUGGCCCCUGGGAGCAGCAGCCCCCCUCCCCAGGGGUUGGUGACAUUCGAGGAUGUGGCUGUGGACUUCACCCAGGAGGAGUGGGGCCUCUUGGACCAUGCUCAGAAGGAGUUGUACAAGGAGGUCAUGCUGGAGAAUGCCCAGAACCUGCUCUCCCUGGGGCUGCCAGUUCCCAGAGAAGACAUGAUCUCUUACUU